rnacentral:lncRNA from 1 species
UGAAUUCAUGUUCGAUUGCUUCAGAAUGCUCAGCUCCAAGUUCCAAGCCCUUUCCCGUUGAUGUAUGGGCAGCACUUGUCUUUAUGAGGCCACAGUCUGGCCAGCACACUGCCUUUGCGUUGACUGCAUCGCAUUACCAUGUGCAUAUUAAGUCACCAACUGGCACAGCUCAGCUCAAAGAUGAAAUGUUCUUGCUGCAAGCAAAACCACAAAGCUGCUAUGCAGUCUCCUCACCUGCACCCCAGAGAAAAUCAGAGGUCUUGGAAUUUGAUGUCCCUAGGGGCACCUUGGGAGAGAUGGAGAAUUUUCAAAGAGCUGGAGAGAGUACAGCGUGGAACAAUCUAUACCUUGCCAAUUUGUCUCUUGUAUUGGCCCAUAGAAGCCAUUUACCACCUUGUUUUUGGUUAUUUCAGCUGCUGUUAGAUGGUCUCUUCCAAACACACCUGUGCUAGUGGUUUAUGGACCUGGCUCCAGCAGGCUGAACACGAUGUGUUUGUGGUUGUGGGUCCAGCAGACCCAGCUUGAUCUCCUGGGACUGAACUCCCCUAGCAGCCUCAAAGUUCUCUGCUUUUCACUUCAAUUCUCUUCUUGAUCAUGGACUUCAAAUGUUAGUCAUAUACCUUUUCACCGAUGCAAUUCACUUCAUAUGACUCAAAUGAACACAACAACAUGGGGUAUCUUUCACUUGUGAGCCUCAGUCCAUCUCCUCUUUUCUUUUUUUCUUUUCUUUUCUUUUGUUCAUCCACAUAGGAAGAGGAUGAAAUCAC